GCACUACUGAAGAGUCCCAAAAUAGGAGGAAACGGCCGUUCAGUGU
rnacentral:hammerhead_ribozyme from 1 species